UACGGAGGGUGCGAGCGUUGUCCGGAAUCACUGGGCGUAAAGGGCGCGUAGGCGGCCUUCUAAGUCAGACGUGAAAUCCCCCGGCUUAACCUGGGAACUGCGUCUGAUACUGGGGAGGCUAGAGUAUGGGAGAGGGAUGUAGAAUUCCAGGUGUAGCGGUGAAAUGCGUAGAUAUCUGGAGGAAUACCGGUGGCGAAGGCGGCAUCCUGGACCAUUACUGACGCUGAGGCGCGAAAGCUAGGGGAGCAAACGGG
rnacentral:rRNA from 1 species